UCAAUGCAGGUACAAAUGUAAAGUAAUGCACAUGGGCAAAAAUAACCAAAACUAGACCUACACUAGGAUGGGCUCUACAUCAGCUGUUACCACACAGAAAAGAGACCUGGGAGUCCCUGUGGACACCCGCUCAGUGCUAAGCAGCCAUCAAAAAGACAAACAACGUGUUAGGAUUUAUGAGGAAGAGAACUGUAAACAAAACAGAUGGCACUAUGAUGCCCAUUUAUAAGUCCAUGGUGUGUCCACACUUUGAAUACAUUGCCCAGGUCUGGUUCCCACACUUCCAAAAGGAUCUAGAAGAAGUAGAGAAGGCCCAGAGAAGGGGAACAAGGAUGAUGAGUGGUAUGGAGGGCCAAAAUGGGCCC